UACGUAGGGGGCAAGCGUUGUCCGGAAUCACUGGGCGUAAAGCGCGCGCAGGCGGUCAUCUACGUCUGGGGUGAAAGCCCGGAGCUCAACUCCGGGAUUGCCUUGGAUACGGGAUGACUUGAGGAUCGGAGAGGCAAGGGGAAUUCCACGUGUAGCAGUGAAAUGCGUAGAGAUGUGGAGGAACACCUGUGGCGAAGGCGCCUUGCUGGCCGAUUUCUGACGCUGAGGCGCGAAAGCGUGGGGAGCAAACAGG
rnacentral:rRNA from 1 species